rnacentral:rRNA from 1 species
AACGAACGCUGGCGGCAUGCCUAACACAUGCAAGUCGAACGAGACCUUCGGGUCUAGUGGCGCACGGGUGCGUAACGCGUGGGAACCUGCCCUUAGGUUCGGAAUAACUCCCCGAAAGGGGUGCUAAUACCGGAUAAUGUCUUCGGACCAAAGAUUUAUCGCCUUUGGAUGGGUCCGCGUUGGAUUAGCUAGUUGGUAGGGUAAAUGCCUACCAAGGCGACGAUCCAUAGCUGGUCUGAGAGGAUGAUCAGCCACACUGGGACUGAGACACGGCCCAGACUCCUACGGGAGGCAGCAGUGGGGAAUAUUGGACAAUGAGCGAAAACCUGAUCCAGCAAUGCCGCGUGAGUAAUGAAGGCCUUAGGGUUGUAAAGCUCUUUUACCCGGGAUGAUAAUGACAGUACCGGGAGAAUAAGCUCCGGCUAACUCCGUG